rnacentral:rRNA from 1 species
GAUGAACGCUGGCGGCGUGCUUAACACAUGCAAGUCGAACGAAGCGCCUUGGACAGAUUCUUCGGAUGAAGUCUUUGGUGACUGAGUGGCGGACGGGUGAGUAACGCGUGGGUAACCUGCCUCAUACAGGGGGAUAACAGUUAGAAAUGGCUGCUAAUACCGCAUAAGCGCACGGUACUGCAUGGUACAGUGUGAAAAACUCCGGUGGUAUGAGAUGGACCCGCGUUGGAUUAGCUAGUUGGCAGGGUAACGGCCUACCAAGGCGACGAUCCAUAGCCGGCCUGAGAGGGUGGACGGCCACAUUGGGACUGAGACACGGCCCAGACUCCUACGGGAGGCAGCAGUGGGGAAUAUUGCACAAUGGGGGAAACCCUGAUGCAGCGACGCCGCGUGAGCGAAGAAGUAUUUCGGUAUGUAAAGCUCUAUCAGCAGGGAAGAAAAUGACGG